rnacentral:rRNA from 1 species
UACGAGGGGGGCAAGCGUUGUUCGGAAUUAUUGGGCGUAAAGGGCGCGUAGGCGGUGCGGUAAGUCACCUGUGAAAACUCUGGGCUCAACUCAGAGCCUGCAGGCGAAACUGCCGUGCUGGAGUGUGGGAGAGGUGCGUGGAAUUCCCGGUGUAGCGGUGAAAUGCGUAGAUAUCGUAAGGAAGACCAGUGGCGAAGGCGGGUCUCUGGACAGUUCCUGACGCUGAGGCACGAAGGUCAGGGGAGCAAACGGG